rnacentral:rRNA from 1 species
AUUGAACGCUGGCGGCAGGCCUAAAACAUGCAAGUCGAACGAGUGGCGGACGGGUGAGUAAUGUCUGGGAAACUGCCCGAUGGAGGGGGAUAACUACUGGAAACGGUAGCUAAUACCGCAUACCAUCGGAUGUGCCCAGCUGGGUUUAGCUAGUAGGUGGGGUACAGGCUAACCUAGGCGACGAGCCCUAGCUGGUCUGAGAGGAUGAACGUCCACACUGGAACUGAGACACGGUCCAGACUCCUACGUGAGGCAGCAGUGGGGAAUAUUGCACAAUGGGCGAAAGCCUGAUGCAGCCAUGCCGCGUGUAUGAAGAAGGCCUUCGGGUUGUAAAGUACUUUCAGCGAGGAGGCGUUACUCGCAGAAGAAGCACCGGCUAACUCCGUGCCAGCAGCCGCGGUAAUUC